rnacentral:rRNA from 2 species
AAACCAACCGGGAUUGCCCCAGUAACGGCGAGUGAAGCGGCAAAAGCUCAAAUUUGGAAUCCUGCGGGAAUUGUAAUUUGAAGACCGUAAGGCGGCGGCGCGGGCUCGUGCAAGUCCAUUGGAACAUGGCGCCAAGGAGGGUGAGACCCCCGUGGCACGACGCAUGGCGCCCCAUCAGCUUUACGGCCAAAGAGUCGAGUUGUUUGGGAAUGCAGCUCUAAGUGGGUGGUAAAUUCCAUCUAAAGCUAAAUAUNGGCGAGAGACCGAUAGCGAACAAGUACAGUGAUGGAAAGAUGAAAAGCACUUUGAAAAGAGAGUGAAACAGUACGUGAAAUUGUUGGAAGGGAAGGGCUUGCAAGCAGACACAACCCCCACGGGUUGGGCCAGCAUCGGGGCGAGAGAGAGUAAAACGGGCGGUGAAUGUGGCGCCAAGUCCUCUGGGCUGGCGAGAUUUUAUAGCGCCGCCAAAUGCUGUCAUUUUGCCCCGAGGCCAGCGCGGACUUGUUCGCAAGGAUGCUGGCGUAAUGGUUGCAAGUCGC